CAGACCUCUAAUCGGAAAAGACUACCCGCUGA
rnacentral:rRNA from 5 species